rnacentral:rRNA from 1 species
GACGAACGCUGGCGGCGUGCUUAACACAUGCAAGUCGAACGGAAAGGCCCUGCUUUUGUGGGGUUCUCGAGUGGCGAACGGGUGAGUAACACGUGAGUAACCUGCCCUUGACUUUGGGAUAACUUCAGGAAACUGGGGCUAAUACCGGAUAGGAGCUCCUGCUGCAUGGUGGUGGUUGGAAAGUUUCGGCGGUUGGGGAUGGACUCGCGGCUUAUCAGCUUGUUUGUGGGGUAGUGGCUUACCAAGGCUUUGACGGGUAGCCGGCCUGAGAGGGUGACCGGCCACAUUGGGACUGAGGUACGGCCCAGACUCCUACGGGAGGCAGCAGUGGGGAAUAUUGCAGAAUGGGCGGAAGCCUGAUGCAGCAACGCCGCGUGCGGGAUGACGGGCUUCGGGGUGUAAACCGCUUUCGAAUGUGACGAAGCGUGAGUGACGGUAAUGAGUAAAGAAGCAACGGCUAACUACGUG